AACAACAUAUGGAUCUGUUUUACCUAAUAAACAGGGCAUAUGAAAGGCAGAAAAGUAUAAGAGAACCAAGAGACCAUAUUCACUGGUGAUCAAUGUUUUAUAUGUUCUUUACUUCUGUUAUGAAAAUGGACAUUGAGUGUCUGACAAUGCUGAAGUCAGGGAAAGGGAAGACAAUAUAUAUUGUAUGUGUGUCAUAAAUUUACCACGUCAAAAAUGUAUCAUAUCAAUGCAAAAGUGCUGAAGUAAAAGAACACUCAAAUAUUUAUGACUCAAUUAAAACACGAACACGCAAUAGCCUGCAUUCUUCCUUCCGAGGGAGAAAGUCAAAGGGAAAAAAACACUCUUGUCUAUGUUUGUUGCACCAAUUGGACUCUAGAAAUAUAUACUAUUGCCCAACCCAAUCCUUUCUUUCUUUUUCUGUCUCUUCACUUCGUAUGGGACAAGAAUAAUAAAACUAUACAUUAAAAAAAAAAAAUACUCGAUAAAAGAACAUAAAU
rnacentral:misc_RNA from 1 species